rnacentral:rRNA from 1 species
UACGUAGGGGGCGAGCGUUGUCCGGAGUUACUGGGCGUAAAGCGCUUGUAGGCGGUCCACCAAGUUUGGGGUGACAGUUGCCGACUUAAUCGGCAAAGUGCCUCAAAGACUGGCGGACUUGAGGGCCACAGAGGGACAUGGAACUCCAGGUGUAGUGGUGAAAUGCGUAGAUAUCUGGAGGAACAUCAGUUGCGAAGGCGGCUAUCUGGACGAAAACUGACACUGAGGCACGAAAGCGUGGGUAGCAAACAGG